ACACACACACACGCACGCACGCACGCACGCACGCACGCACGCACGCACGCACGCACUGAGAUGUGCCAGGUCAAUCACGUGACACAGACCCUCGAGGGGUCAAGGUUGCUGAUUGGCCCUAGAGUAGCCUCCUUUGGAACUGUGCCUGCUGGUUCUCAUGUUGCUAGGGGAAGACUGACUCAAUGACUCCACACUUCUGGUUUAGCAUCAGGAAGACGUUGGAAAUGGUUCACAGGCCAGGAAAACCUUUUCCCGGGCUCAGGGCUCUGUUAAAAAAAAAAAAAAAAUCCAGAGCUUGGGGAGGCAGGGUGUUAGGAAAAUCAAUGCUUCUGCAGUGUGUGCUGACCAUUGAUUUUGGCAACCAAUUUGGCGACCAAUGGCCCUGCAGGACCAGAAAGCAAAAUACAUGGCACCCAGAGCUGUUUUCGGCUUCCUCUCUGUCUCCAAGACGAAGGAGAGGCUAUGAGUCUCCGAUCGUGGUCCUGGGGGCGGAGGGAAGAAGAAACCAACCCCACGCAUGACUUUCUCUCUUCCUAUUUCCUGAUCACCAUCCGCGGGCUGAGGGUCUCUGCGCAAAUCCCAGGCAGUUCAGAACUGGGAGCCGUGAGUUACAUAAGGUAAUAUUAAGGCUGUAAAUCUUCCCAGUAGCAGAACCCAUAAACCCUAGUUUUUAUUAUCCACUUACUGCACAGACCCUGGCUGUUCCUUCAUCGUAGCACAAUUAUCCUACAAUUACUGUUAGAUUGUUAAGUAAAUAGCGUGCCAGAAGCGGCAAUUCCCGGGCUCAUAAAUAUAUAAGCAAACACCGGAGCGAGGCCCUGGAGCCAUGGGAAGGAGGCGGGAUAGGGUGCUGGAUGCUGGAAUGUGUGAUAUUCUCCUUCUGCAGAUGGGUCCUUGGCAGUCACCCCCACACCCCCCGCAGGGCCCAGGGAGCUGUGGGCGACAGGACAGAGGAUCUAACACAGGCCAGCUGUGCAGUCACAAACCGAGAGCGCUCCCCCUGGGCAUGGGGACUGGGGAGGCAGGCGUAGCCUCCCUGGGCUUCAUCCUCCCUUCCGGAAGUAUCCGGUGGCUCCAGUAUGAGCAAGUAUCACAGGUGUGAGGUGAGGAGAAGGAAGCGCGCUCUCCUGGGUUUCUCGAAAUGAGAACGUUCUCCUUGUCUUUCUCCAUAACAAUUCUAAACCAGGAGCUCCAAGUUCCUGAGGGCAGAGGCAUAACAACGCAGUCACACUGUGGGAACCGUUCCGUCAUGAGCGUCUUGCAAGGCUGCACCUGAAGUUGCAGAAAUGGGCAAUGGAGCCAGAUUCCUGCCCCUCUGCCAGGUGCAACUUAAGGAUUCAGUUCCUCUUCUUCGAGUUUUGCAGUCCAUGGUUACAGGCAUCAUGGACCUCCGGUGUUCCAGUCAGUGUUCUGGGGAAUUCUAGAACUCCCCAGAAACAAAUUGGGUGACUGCCUCUGCAUCAGAAGAGGGAGCUUCUGGGACUGCUGGCUGCAUUCUGAAUCUUUCUUUGUUUCUAACUUGUUUAUUCUUGAGAAUUUUA